GAUGUGUGCCUUUGGAAUCUACAUUUAAAAAAAAGUGUAAUAAAUCAAUUCAAUAUACAAAAAAAUCACAAUAAAUCCAUAAUUUAUUUUAGUCAGAUCUAAAGAAAAAUGUUAUGAAGAAAAUGUCAGAAAAACAGAAUAUGAGUUGGUCUACUGUAUGUUAUGUGUGCAUAUGCACCUGGUCUACUGUAUGUUAUGUGUGCAUAUGCACCUGGUCUACUGUAUGUUAUGUGUGCAUAUGCACCUGGUCUACUGUAUGUUAUGUGUGCAUAUGCACCUGGUCUACUGUAUGUUAUGUGUGCAUAUGCACCUGGUCUACUGUAUGUUAUGUGUGCAUAUGCACCUGGUCUACUGUAUGUUAUGUGUGCAUAUGCACCUGCCAUAAGCAGUUGGCUUGUUGAGUUAGCUGACAAUAUACAGCCUGAGUCCCGUGCCAUUAUUUUAUAUUAUAUGAUUUUAUAGUAAGAAGAAUAUCAUUGAACCGAGGUGAAUAAAAUAGAAAGGAUAUUCUUACCAAUCUGGAGCAAAUGCGCAUAUGAAAUGGCAUGAAAGUGAUCAUUUGAAACAGGUCUUCUACACAAGAUUUAGAGUGAUUUGGCAGCUUUAGUAGUGAAUGAUACGAACCUUAGAAUAUCUUAGAAAUCAGAAAGUAUUCAGACCCCUUGACUUGUUCCACUUUGUUACGUUCACAGCUUAUUCUAAAACGGAUUUAAAAAUAAAAAAAUCUUCCACACACAAAACCCCAUCAUGACAAAAGUGAAAACAGGUUUUCAGAUUUUUUUGUGUGCAAAUGUAUUGAAAAUAAAAAACAGAAAUACCUUAUUUACAUAAGUAUUCAGACUCUUUGCUACGAGACUUGAAUGAGAUUAGGUGCAUCCUGUUUCUACAACUUGGGUGAUGUCCACAUGUGCUAAAUUCAAUUGAUUGGACAUGAUUUGGAAAGGCACACACCAGUCAAUAUAAGGUCCCACAGUUGACAGUGAAUGUCUGAGAAAAAAACUAAGCCAUAAGGUUGAAAGGAAUUGUCCAUAGAGCUCCGAGACAGGAUUUCUUCGAGGCAGAGAUCUGUGGAAGGGUACCAAAAAAUUUCUGCAGCAUUGAAAGUCCCCAAGAACACAGUGGCCUCCAUCAUUCUUAAAUGGAAGAAGUUUGGAACCACCAAGACUCUUCCAAGAGCUGGCCGCCCGGCCAAACUGAGAAAUCGGGGGAGAAGGGCCUUGGUCAGGGAAGUCCCCAAGAACCCGAUGGUCACUCUGACAGAGCUCCAGAGUUCCUCUCUGGAGAGAUGGGAUAACCGUCCAGAAGGACAACCAUCUCUGCAUCACUCCACCAAUCAGACCUUUAUGGUAGAGUGGCCAGACGGAAGCCACUCCUCAGUAAAAGUCACAUGACAGCCCACUUGGAGUUUGCCAAAAGGCACCUAAAGGACUCUCAGACCAUGAGAAACAAGAUUCUCUGGUCUGAGGAAACUAAGAUUUAACUCUUUGGCCUGAAUGCCAAGCGUCACGUCUGGAGGAAACCUUGCACCAUCCCUACGGUGAAGCAUGGUUGUGACAGCAUUAUGCUGUUGGGAUGUUUUUCAGGGGCAGGGACUGGGAGACUAGUUAGGAUCGAGGGAAAGUUGAACAGAGCAAAUUACGGCAAUUCUUGAUUCAAACCUGCUCCAGAGCGCUCAGGACCUCAGACUGGGGCAGAGGUUCACCUUCCACCUUUUUCAUAAAUUAGAUUAAAAAUUCUAAUAAAAAAAACUGUUUUAGCUUUGUCAUUUUGGGUUAUUGUGUGUAGAUUGAUGAGGGGAAAAAAUAUAUAAUCAACUUUAGAAUAACGUAACAAAAUGUGGGAAAAGUCAAGAGGUCUGAAUGCACGGUAUGGGCUGCAUGAUGUGACUAUAGGCGAAUGAUGACUUGAGAAAGUCAGAAAAAAGCUUGCACUUUGUUCCUCGCCUCAGACUGCACAGCCGUUCUCCCAUCAAGUGAUCAUAUUUUUACCCAUCAGACUAUUCUCAAUUUAAUCUCGUCUUUACUAAUAUGUGAAAUUAGUUUUGAUUCGGUGACCCAUUACCAAAUGGGCAGGUACAGGGACAAUUAAUGUGUAUGCAGUCAAACAGCAAAUGGAGGCCUCACUCUUUCCCGCUAGUUCGUUGAUCAAUGAGGCCGGAUACACAACUUCAGUUUGAUAGAGGAGUUGUGCUUAAUAUGAGCAGCUGAGAAAUCAAUAGAAGAAACACUUAUUUCACUCCACUGUUUGAGGAGCUGCAUGGCAGGUGACAUCCCACCCACACUCUGUAUGCCAUGGGCUCUUCAACCCUAUUCCUGCAUCUACCACUGUUUGAGGAGCUGCAUGGCAGGUGACAUCCCACCCACACUCUGUAUGCCAUGGGCUCUUCAACCCUAUUCCUGCAUCUACCACUGUUUGAGGAGCUGCAUGGCAGGUGACAUCCCACCCACACUCUGUAUGCCAUGGGCUCUUCAACCCUAUUCCUGCAUCUACCACUGUUUGAGGAGCUGCAUGGCAGGUGACAUCCCACCCACACUCUGUAUGCCAUGGGCUCUUCAACCCUAUUCCUGCAUCUACCCAGUGCUUCACUUGGGAAACAAAGUGAUAUCUUUUCGGGAACAUCGACAGUAACAUGUUUUCGCGUUAUGAAAAUAAAUUUAAAAAAUCCCUAUUAAUAGGCUAUUCAAAAUCAAAUACAAAUUCACUGUAAGCAGCCCUGUACAAUCAAUGAACCGGCAGCAUCGCCUAGGGCCGGCUAUACAGCGCGUUCUCUCCCAGACUCCUGGAUAGAACUUUUGGACCGUAGCGUAAGGUAACCAUCCAGUAUACAUACUAACACAGUCCACACCCAAAAGCAAAUGACCCAAAUUUGUUUAAUUUUGGCUAAACCAAUUAUGUACCAAAGACAUCUUAAAUCGGUUUUGCUUUGUGUUUUUUUCUGCAAUGUGUAAUAUGGGGAAGGCUAUAUAUUGUAUAACAGCUCAUAAGCAUCAGCUCUAAAAUGGGUGUCCGUUUCGCUGUUGAAACAUCCACAACAACCAUGUUUUACUCUCCAACUGGAACUUCUUUCUUCAAAUUGACCAUCACAGCGAAGUGAGGUGUUAAAAGCACGACACUGUUGUGAUGAUAAGUGUUUGAUGUGACUUUUCCAUCGAUGUCAGCGUGGUUAGAGGGACAAUCGAGCCCUUGAGUACCAGUCCAUUGGGACCUGAUGGCCGUUAGCGAAUCGGAUUACGACCAAUGCAUGUCCAGAGUGCAUGAAAGGAGAUUCCCGUGACUCAAUGGUCACAUGGAAUCUUACCGCGGUCAUGGUGUGCCGGUAAUACUAUGGUCAUGAGUGCUGGUGUGGCAGUAAUACGGUCACUGCAACAGUCCCAGUGGAGAGGAACUUGUUUGGAUUCCACCCUUAACAAGCCACAGGGGUAUGGAGAGUGUGUGUGUGUGUGUGUGUGUGUGUGUGUGUGUGUGUGUGUGUGUGUGGUUAUGUGUGUGUUGAGGGAUAAACCAGCGCUCAUUAGUAACACUUAACUGCACUGGACACAGAGUUGAAGGUGGUCUAUGUGUGUGUGUGUGUGUGUAACUGACCACUUGUUGUGUCUCAGGAGGAUUGUGUGUUUGUGUGCCAAAGUGUGUGUGUAUGGUGUGUGUGUGUACAGUGCAUUCGGGAAGUGUUCAGACCCCAUCACUUUUUCCACAUUUUGUUAUGUUACAGCCAGUGAUGGAAACAGUACUCAAUUGUCAUACCUGAGUAAAAGUAAAGAUACCUUAAUAGAAAACUCAAGUAAAAGUCACCCAGUAAAAUGCAAAAAUAUAAAUAGUAAAGUACAGAUAUCCCCCAAAAACGACUGAAUACUUUCCGAAUGCACUGUAUUGUUCCUCUCUGUCUGUAUAUACUGUGUUUUUACUGUGACUGGUAGCUGCUCUGUACCCUGCUAACACUGUACCCAUACAUUAAAAUAGCCUUCCGUGCCCAUGGGAGACUGCCACUGGGCACCACAGCAGCUAUACACUGAGCCCUGACUGCUGUGUUCCCGGAAGGGAGCCCUGGUUCCAUAUAAUCCCUGGCUCUACACACUCACACGUAUAAACCACAGUCAGCAUGUGCUACAGCAGCUAACCCAGACAGGAAUAACCAAUGAUGCAGGCAAGACCCUCUGCAGGAUUUAAAGACAUACUAAAGCUGGGAUGAAGGGAGGGUUAAGGAGGAGAAUAGAGAGAAGAGGAGAAAGAGGGGACACAGGGGAGAGAGAGAGAGAGAUGGGGGGGGGCAGAUAGAUGAAGAGAGACUGAGUUCCAUAGUCCAUGUAAAGGGAGAAA